rnacentral:rRNA from 1 species
AACGAACGCUGGCGGCGCGCUUAACACAUGCAAGUCGAACGAGAAGGCGUAGCAAUACGCUUGUACAGUGGCGAACGGGUGAGUAAUACGUGGGCGACCUACCCUCGAGUGGGGGAAUAACCCGCCGAAAGGCGGGCUAAUGCCGCGUACGCUUCCAUCUUUAUGGAGGUGGAAGGAAAGCCGUGCCGUGGGCACGGCGCUCAAGGAUGGGCUCACGUCCUAUCAGCUUGUUGGUAGGGAACGGCCUACCAAGGCUCCGACGGGUAGCUGGUC